UGAGCAGGACGGACUAUUGGGGAUAUGAUAGGCAAACAAUUUGCUAACACAGAACAUAUAUCUGAACAAUGAUAGCCUGAUUAGCUGAAAUCUUUUUGAGCAGGCUGAAGGUGGAGGAGGGCGUGGACGGGAUUUGGUCCCAGCAUUGCACUCAGAGAUGCUCUAAUAUUUAAGGAGUCCUUGUUUCUUAUAUUAUAUUUUAUCACAUUGCCAUCAAAUUAAAUUGCUUGAUUGAGUAAAUAGCUUCAUAAUGUACUAGUAAAUCUUUGCUACCAUUAUUGGCAAGUUUUUGUAAGUAAUCUUUCUAGUCAAGCACUUGUGUAUCAUCUAUAGUAAUCUUAAGUUUUGCCAUUUUUCUCUUCUGAAAUUUCUCAUCUUGUUUUCAUAGGCUUGCUGGCUGCGUCUUCUAUGCUACUUGGUACACUCGUUAGACCCCAAAGCGAUGAAAUCUUCAUUUUUUGUUAAUACAAUAUUACGUGAAAUGCUUAUUAAUAGUGCUGCUUAUUUAAAGUACUACGUUACAGAAUCUGUUUUGUUAAUUUUUACCAUCAAUGCAAAGACAAACAUGUAUUUGCGUGCUAAUUUUGCUACUUUAUUACAUUCAUGUUUGUUUUAGGAAAGUACAUAUGCGCAUGAAAAAUUGUUGCAUUGUCUAAGGUCCAAUUCCAAACUAGUUGAAGUGGAAUUCAUUUAGUUAGUUUUAUGACACAUGCUAGUAAGUAUUUUGCAAUUCAUUUAGUUCCACUCUUUUUCAUCUUGCACGUUCUGGUACUACAAUCAUGCCACUAGUUCGGGAGAGUGAGAGGGAAAGGAGGGCAUUCCUCGCGGAACAUAAACGCAUGGGUGAUGUGUAUGCUAAGCUAAGGGGUGCAUUGAUUACAUGCAUCGGGAGGAGUUAGCCGCAAGACUUGAAGCACAAGAGAGAGCAUUUGAAGAGAUACAAAAGAAGCAGCAAGAAGAAUUGGAAGCUCUAAAGAAGAUCCAACAAGAGAAGAAUGAAGCCUAGGCAAAGAAGCAAAAGGAGAUGGAUAAUCUGCUUGAUUUUCUCUUGAGGGCUCAAGCAACUUAGCAAGCAACUCUGUAGUCCCAGUCCAAACCAGAUGGUUCAUGAAAGCCAUCCUUACAUUGCAAUCAUCAGGACAACAUAUGUGGUCUUUAGUUAAUAUUAGUUUUCAUCUUGUCUAUUGUCUAUGUCAAACUUGAGUCAGUUUUUUACCGUCAUUUUUGUUUACAGAAUGAUUUGGCUGAUACAAUCUCAUAUAUAAUAUGAUUUGUCUUACAUAUCAAUUUAUGAUGUGAUUUUUCUCUA